UCCUGCCGUUGCGCCGAUUUGAUGAUCAGCUUGCGGGCGCGUUAAAAAUACGGCUAAAGCGGAGCGACCUGCUUUAGC
rnacentral:ncRNA from 2 species